UACGGAGGGGGCUAGCGUUGUUCGGAAUUACUGGGCGUAAAGCGCACGUAGGCGGCUUUGUAAGUUAGAGGUGAAAGCCCGGGGCUCAACUCCAGAACUGCCUUUGAUACUGGCGAUCUUGAGUCCGGGAGAGGUGAGUGGAACUGCGAGUGUAGAGGUGAAAAUUCGUAGAUAUUCGCAAGAACACCAGUGGCGAAGGCGGCUCACUGGCCCGGUACUGACGCUGAGGUGCGAAAGCGUGGGGAGCAAACAGGG
rnacentral:rRNA from 1 species